rnacentral:rRNA from 1 species
GAAUAAAAGAAUAAUGCAUGUUUACAUGUCGCCGGCUCUCAUCUGAUCCCUGAAGUUAAUCAAUAUCAAACCUAAUUAGUACUUAGAUGUUUGACCACUUGGGAAACCUAGGUACUGUAAGCA